UUGAUCCUGGCUCAGGAUGAACGCUGGCGGCAUGCCUGAGAUAUGCAAGUCGAACGGUACGUUUCGGGAGCUUGCUCCUGAAACACGAGUGGCGAACGGCUGAGUAACGCGUAGGAAUCUGCCCUAAAGUGGGGGAUAGCUCCUGGAAACGGGAGGUAAUACCGCAUGUGCCUUGCUUGCAAGGUAAAGGAUUUAUUCGCUUUAGGAUGAGCCUGCGUCCUAUCAGGUAGUUGGUGAGGUAACUGCUCACCAAGCCUAUGACGGGUAGCUGGCCUCAUGAGGGUGGUCAGCCAGAGGGGGACUGAGACACGGCCCCCACUCCUACGGGAGGCAGCAAUCAGGAAUAGUCGGCAAUGGAGGAAACUCUGACCGCGCAAUGCCGCGUGUAGGAUGACGCUUUAACGAGUGUAAACUACUGUGGAAUAGGAUGAAGGCGUAAGCUUGACAGUACUAUUCUAGAAAGGGGCCGCUAACUGCGUGCCAGAAGCGUCGGUAAUACGUGGGCCCCAAGCGUUAUCCGGUGUUACUGGGCGUAAAGUGUCGCGUAGGCGGCUUGGCAAGUCACCUUUUAAAUUCCAAUGCUCAACAUUGGAACUGGGGGUGAUACUGCCUUGCUAGAGUUACCUAUAGGGUGAAUAGAACUGUGGGAGGAGUAGUGAAAUGCGUUGAUCCCCACGGGAAUACCAGAGGCGAAGGCGAUUCACUGAUAGGUAUCUGACGCUGAGGCACGAAAGCUAGGGGAGCGAAGCAGAUUAGAGACCUGCGUAGUCCUAGCCGUAAACGCAUGCUUGCUAGCUGCAUUGCCAGCCCCCUUCGGGGGGUGUAGGUGUGGCGAAGGUAACCCGUUAAGCAAGCCGCCUGGGGAUUACGGCCGCAAGGCUAAAACUCAAAGGAAUUGGCGGGGAGGCACACAACCAGUGGAACAUGUGGUUCAAUUCGAAACAAACCGAAGCACCUCACCGGGGUUUGACAUGCAAUUGCUAAUCCUAUGAAAGUAGGACUCCUUCGAGGGUAUUGCACAGGUGCUGCAUGGCUGUCGUCAGUUCGUUCCGUGAGGAGUGCCCUUAAGUGGGACAACGAACGCAACCCCCAUCGUAUGUUACAAGUGUCAUACGAAACUGCCCCCGAGUUCUCGGGGGAGGAAGGAGGGGCAGACGUCAAGUCAGCAUGGUCCUUACGCCCCGGGCUACACACAUGUUACAAUGGACAAUAACAAUGGGCAGCAAACCGGCGACGGUAAGCUAAUCUCAGAAAUUUGUCCUCAGUGGGGAUUGUAGUCUGCAAUUCGACUACAUGAACGCGGAAUUGGUAGUAAUCGCGGAUCAGCUAUGCCGCGGUGAUACGUUCUUGCCUCUUGCACACACCGCCCGUCAAGCCAACAAAGUCGGCAUUAUCUGAA
rnacentral:rRNA from 1 species